rnacentral:rRNA from 1 species
UACGUAGGGUGCAAGCGUUGUCCGGAAUUAUUGGGCGUAAAGAGCUCGUAGGCGGUCUGUUGCGUCGGCUGUGAAAACCCGGGGCUCAACUCCGGGCCUGCAGCCGAUACGGGCAGACUAGAGUUCGGCAGGGGAGACUGGAAUUCCUGGUGUAGCGGUGAAAUGCGCAGAUAUCAGGAGGAACACCGGUGGCGAAGGCGGGUCUCUGGGCCGGCACUGACGCUGAGGUGCGAAAGCGUGGGGAGCAAACAGG